rnacentral:rRNA from 1 species
ACGCUCGACACCUACGGGAGGCAGCAGUGGGGAAGUAUUGCACAAUGGGGGAAACCCGUGAUGCAGCGACGCCGCGUGAGCGAAGAAGUAUUUCGGUAUGUAAAGCUCUAUCAGCAGGGAAGAAGAAAGACGGUACCUGACUAAGAAGCCCCGGCUAACUACGUGUCAGCAGCCGCGGUAAUCUGAGCGGGCUGGCAAGGC